rnacentral:lncRNA from 1 species
AGGAGGUGUCUUCAAAAGCAUCAAGGAAAAAAUAUCAAAUAUUUUGAUAUUUGAUAUCAAAUAUCAAAAUUUGCCAUGGUGCCCAGCAUGGUUCAAGAUCAUAAGUGUCAAGCACAUCAGGGCAAGAAUCUUCUGUUCCAUAUGCAACAUCUUCUGGCAGCCUUGUCCUUUUUCUGUCCUUGACGACUACAAUAACAAACAGCUGUUGCCGAGGCAUUGCUGUUGACGUGUUACCUUUGAAACCUCCCUCCUGUUAUGGAAUAAGCCUCUUCCAGAUCAUGGCUCAUUAUCAUCUAGUCUGACAAGCAGCCUUGUUGCCACGGAGACCCAAAGGGAUCAGGCGUGGCAUUUGCCUGCAUCAUCACCCCCUCCAGGGGAACUAUAAGGACUCUUCUGUGCGUCAUGCGUGGCUGUCCUGGGACUGGCUGCCACCAGACUUUUCCUGCGGGUAAAACCUAAACAAAUGAUCAGCUGCAGAUAAUAUCAAGACCUCUGUUUGAUAUGUUAAUAGUGACAGCCAGAUUUCCACAAUUAACAACGAGGUGGGAAGAAAACACUGUAGUCACCAGACUUGGGAGGAGAGGGUUUGUAUUCACAUAAACACAACCUCACGUCACUGCUUGCCACCACAAAGGGCUCUGUUCACUGUUUUGUUCUCAAAGAUCAUCCUUGCGCUCAUCCUCUGAUCUUGAAUUUCUACAUAACUUUCUCAGUUUAUAUGCCCUGUGGCAAGUGCAGCAAGCACUGUUUCCUGUUUCUAAACUUGUAGAAAAUCAUCCAUACAUCUUACAGUUGUCAGUUUUAACCAGAUAACAGUGGCACUUUGUUGCUGCUUUUUUAUCUUUAGCUUAGGUUAACAGGACCCUGGAAGUAAAGUUGUUGAUUUAUUCAAUAGAGUAUUCUCAAUUAAUUUGGCUAGAUUUCUACAUGAUUCAAAAUCUAAAAAAGUAGAAAUGCAUGCUUACAUGUCUAAGGCCUGAAAAAUUGGUAGUGACAUCCCAAAAUAAAUGAAGGUUUUAAAACAA